AAGUCGUAACAAGGUUUCCGUAGGUGAACCUGCGGAAGGAUCAUUAACACGUUAUCCACGUAUCUACCUCUUGCGAACUUUUUACUGUUCAGGAGUCGGCAGACCAGCGUAGAUAUUGGAGGUAGAUGUUACUAUGUCCAGUGGCCGACACCCUGGUUCUACCUGCCUAGCUAACCCCGCCAUCCCCUUCGUUUUUUUUUAAAUGUGGUGUAAGAAAAAAAGAAGCGUGUUGGGUGUGGGCUUAGGUAUUCUGGUUCAUAUGACUCGAAUCAUAGUAGUUUUUUUAAUCUUAUUAACCCUUUUUUUACUUAAUUUGUUGAAUUGUGAUGGUCCCUGGAGGUAACACUUCGGGUGGCUCACGUUAAUAAAACACUAUACAACUCUUAGCAACGGAUAUCUCGGUUCU
rnacentral:misc_RNA from 1 species